AGUACUUAAAGUACCAAAAAGCCAAUGGAGACUGAAAAAAAUCUCAGCUGAGCUUUUCAGAAUUUUGUGCCUUGAAGAGUAGCCGAGAAAUGGGGUGACCCCUGCAGAGGGAUGUAGGGUCAAGAAACCCCUAACCCUAACCUCCAUUUCAAAGCUUGGAGAUCCUAGAAUAUAUUCACGUGCUCCUGGGAAUGAUCCAGCCGUGAGUGGAGAAUUGCCGAUUUCAGAGGUGGUGGAUAAUCACCAAGUCUUUGACAGACGUUUUUUGAGCACUUGAUCUGCACCAGACGCUGGAAGGCAAAGGUAACCCAGACAUGAUCUCAGUCCUUGCAGACCUCAGCCUCAGCCACGGCGGCCCGAGACCCAGCCCCGAGACCCAGCCCUCGACUGUUAGAGCACACUGAUGACGGCAAGGACCGGGAUGUGCACGGAGCCCAGCAGAGGGAUGUCUCAGUCAAACAGGGGUCUGGAAGUCUUCUCGAGAUAAAUGAUGCUUGAGCUGAGAGGUGCAAAGGCUGAGAAGUUGUUAAUGAGACCAAGCAGGGGGUGAGGCCAGCCAGGGCACCGUGUCGCCAUGGAAAGAGAAGACAAAGCCAGACACACGGCAUCGCGCUCUCCAACAUCCUGCAGGCCGAAGCUCUCUUUCACACUCUCGCAAAGCUCAAAGGUUGGCACCUUCCCGAUGGUCCACCUGGCCAGCUGCUGCCAUGGGGCCCUCUGCGCCCUGCCCCUCUGACCUGAGCUCCGUGAGGCUGUCCUCUGUCCUGCUCAUCAUGUUGCAUCAGCACGAGGGGCUGCGCCAGCCUCUCCUACACAGAAUGUGAGAUCUUAGGAGCAUCCAUCUCCUUCCCCCGAUGGCUCCCGUUUGGCUCAACGCAGGGAAGAGAAGAGAUGCAGCGGGCUUUUCUGGCUGCGCCAGCCUUUGGACUUGGCCGACCAGGCUAGAGGGGCGGCUCACCAAGCAAUUCCAAUCAAAUGUUCUCUUGGAUCGUAUUUUUUUGGACUCUUCUUGGACAUAGGAAAGUGGCACUGGGCCAGGCUGGGCCACUGAGCAUGCCCAGGCCUGACAAUUUCCCCCAAGGUUUUGGUCCUUUCUUAGGAUUUAAAAAAGGAUGACAAAGGAGGGAAGAUACAGGUGGUUUUCAAGAAAAGUUUAAAAUCUGGGCUUCUUCCGGACUGUCCUCCACAUCCAAACAUCUGGCAGCAAGGGAUUUGGAAGAAAAUGUUCUCGGGGCCAGAGCUGAACUCAGAGUUUGAGGUAAGGCAGAUCUGCCCACACAGCCCUUGUAAUGAAUCCAGCUCAGCUCCUAGGUUACUGGUUGGAGUGUGGGACCAACUGCAUAAAGACGGGGGGGACGGGGGGGGAGCUGGGACAGAGCCUAGAAGAGACUGGGGCUCCCCCUCCCCCACACGGGGGUCCAUCAGGGAAACACGUCCUCUCUGCAUAGAGUCACAGCUGACCCGUAAAACGUGACACGGACAAUUACCUAUUUAAUUCAAGCAGAGGUAAUGAACAGUUUGGAUAACACCAGUGUCUUUUUCAAUAACCGUAGGUUUAUUUACAUCAUUUCAAGACAUAAUUAGCCUGCAUAAUUUCCCGGUUCAAUGAAUGCUCCUUGACUUGUCAUAAAAU
ensembl:lncRNA